ACACACCUGAAACUAAUGGAAUUCAGUUUGGUGUUUCUAGAACCCUAUUCGACCUCAACACACAAUAGAAUGCCUGAAAUCUUUUGUUUGCACCCAGACUGUGAAGUACAAAACUAAUAGAGGCAUUAUCCUGAAUGUAACAGGCCACAAAAGUUGCCCUUUGAACCAAGCCAGUGGAGAAAAUCACUUUGUCAUUGAUUGCAAUGAAUUGGAGCUCUGCUCUGGGACAACAUUUUUGCAAGCUUUUAUUAACCGUGUCUGGGAUGGAACUGGAGC
rnacentral:lncRNA from 1 species